AGUCUUCCACUAGCAGCCUUUGGAUGAAGAAGUAGAACACUCUCUCUGCCUGUGCCAAGCCUGCCUGGAUACUGCCAUGCUCCCACCUUGAUGAUACUGGACUGAACCUCUGAGCCUUCUUGGUGCACGUAUGCUUGCAUGCGCAUCAGAAGCCUGAAGUUCCAUUUGUCAUUUGUCACAGUGUUUGGAGGACUGGUUGAGCCGCCGGCUUCUGAGGAUUAUCUUGACUCUGCCUUCCACCUUGCCACAGGAGUUCUGGGACCUCACUACCAUGUUUAGCUUUACACGGAUCCUGGAGACUCAAACCCAGGCCCCCAUGCUUGCAUGGCAAGCCCUUUACCCACCGCUGGCUAGUUUUAUGUCAAAUUAGUACAAGCUAGGGUUAUGUGAGAAGAGGGAACCUCAGUAAAGAAAAAUGCCUCUGUAAGAGCAGGCUGUAGGCCAGCCUGGAGGGGAUUUUCUUGGUUACUGAUUGAUAAUGGAGGGCCCAGCCCAUUGUGGACGUUGCCACCGCUGGGCUGGCGGUGCUGUAAGAAAGCAGGCUGACGAGUAUGAAGCUAGUAAGCAGUCUUUCCCUGUGGCCUUUGUAUCUGCUCCUGCCUCUAGGUUCCUAGCCUGCUUGAGUCCCUGUCCUAACUUCCUCAGUGACAGACUGGCCUGUGGAACUAUAAGUUGAAAUAAACCUUUUCUACCCC
ensembl:lincRNA 9130204K15Rik RIKEN cDNA 9130204K15 gene